CUGGGAUGUAAUUCAGCCAUGAGCCUGCUCCGUAGAGGUCCUUUUCUGGAAAGACACUGCCAACUGCGUCGUAAGCCCUGGAAACGUUCCUGCCUGCAUCGACAGCAGAGCAUGAAGCUCUUGAUUCAUGGCCAGUCACAGCCCUGUCUGAUAGGGUUGGCCUGACUCUUCCAUGGUGUUUUCCAUCUCCUCUCUGAUGAGCACAUUCUGCUCAGGAAGAAGUCACAGGAGGGCUGCUCAACUCCCCUGUCCUUGGCUGGCUGAGCUGGGCACAAACAGGAGCUCACCCAUGACUGUUGCUCUCCAGCAGUGCUCAGCAGCUCC
rnacentral:lncRNA from 1 species